rnacentral:lncRNA from 1 species
GGGGGCGCCGCUUCGGGAGAGCGGGCAGUUCUAGGAGGCCGACCUGGAGAGCCUCCCGGUUCCCCUUCCCCUUUUCCCGGACCCCGCGGGGACACCCCCUCGCCGCCACCCGGGCCUCCCCGAGGGCCCAACUGCGGGUCAGGCGGCCCGGGCCAGCCGAAAGGGAAGUGGGGCUACCCCACAGCCAGGCAGCGGGGCUGGGGUCAGACCCGGGAGCCGGAGGUUGGAGACGUGCGACAGUCACCUGCGGGCAGAUUCCAGAGGGGAGACCCAGGGCUGCAGGGGACGCCCCUUCGUGGCAGCUACCCAGCCUCGGCCCACUGCCAGUGUUACGUGGCUGCAUGACCAUACACUUCUGGGUAGAGCCCAGUGGAAGACAAAGAAGACUCAAGGAAUAGCCCUUGAGGGCUCAGGAGCUAUACAGAUGGGAUAGAGGGUGUGAGUGCUGGGAAGCCCCAUCCAUGGCUCGCUGGAGAUUAGAGGCCUGUUAAUCUGAAGACAAAGGAAUGAAGACGAAAACGUUUCUGAAAAUGUGGGUGGAGACACCUGGGCCUUUACAGGGUACGCUCCAGAGCUGCUUCCAGGCAGGGACCCCGGCUGAGAGAAGCCAGAGCCAGAGAGUCGCAGGCUUGCUUGCUCUUAUCUUCCCUCUGCUGGGGGGGUCGAGGGGAGAUCUGGCCCCUCUGCUCUGCCCUCCUGAUUUCCCGUCUAAGGGAUUUAGGAGACUUUUGCCUUUUCCUAAUCUCUCCCUUUGCAGAAUUUCUGCGAAGUCACAAUCCCAUUUCCAGGCAAAGGUGCUUGGUCAUAAAGAUAAUAAAGAUAUUCAUUCAUGAU